UGUCUAUCUUUACAAGUCUUUAUAUAUAACCGUAGUUGGGGUUUUGCUUGAUCCAUUUUUUUGCUACCCUUAGGAUACUUCCUCAGCCAUCAUUGAAGGCAGGACCAACCAUAGAAGUUGCCUGGAGCCUACAGUCUAUUACCAUUUCCAGUAGCAGCAGCCUGUGAAUAUAGGAAGCUUUUUAGGCCUUUUAGGAAACUUUCACUGCCUGCACCUGUAUGGGAUCCCACAGACUUCACAGAGACUUACUAUGGACACAGGUCCACCUGCAUGGUUCUCUGGGUAUGGAUGGAGCUUGAGAUGGGAAGAAAUAUCCCACUCAACAACAUGGAAGUCAUAGGAAAUAUCCCCAUUAUGGCUUUCUGCAAGGACAUUCAGUCACCAUUGCAGCAAGGGGCACAGAGCAGAAGUAGUAUUUUCUGAAGGAAAAAAAAAAAAAAAAAAGAUUUGCUAAUGCCAGACUACUACUACUACAAUAAUAGCCCUAGAAAUAUCUUCAGGUAGUCAAAGGACCUGACGACUGAUCCAUGAGAACUGCAACCAGACUGCAGGGACCAAGGUGUUAAAACUACCACCUCAGGAGCCAAUUUUGUAAUUCUCCCUUCUCCAAAGAUAUUUAUGCUACUGGAAAGAGGUCAAAGAGGAGUGGGUCUUUGUCAUUCCUUCCUCUUGACCUUCUUCUCAGGAGGAGAAGAUCUGGCAAUCCCAUUUCAGUUGUUUGCAUUUUGUUUUUUCUAAAGCGAUACACUGACCUAUAACCCAUUUUUACAUGAACUAGUCAAAAAAGUUAUCCAUAAAUUGUGUUUUCAGCAUAUAACUGAAGUUGUGAGAGCAUAAGCAGUCAGAUAUUUUUUGGUAAGAAGAAAAAUUAUUGCAGAAGCUUCACAUUUUAUUUCGGUUAUCCACCAAGCAAACACGUCCACUUGAAAAUAGCUGCCAUUGUACAUGCCUGACUAUAUUCAUGAGAUGUACAGUUAUCCACUCCAUUGUAAUCUGUGAGUUGGUCUCUCCUUUUUUCUCUAAUAAGUAUUUUAUGAACGUCAUCUUCCAGUCUAUUGAAGAAUCCUCCAUCAUGCAAUAAAGUCUGGGAAGAGCUCAGUUCCUGUCAAGAAUUAAUGUCAUGAUUUAUCUCCAUUUAAAUAAAAGUCAAUAUCCAGCUAAACAAUUAAAUAUAGUUGAGUUUUAAAGAAGUCUGUGUUUAAAGUCACAAAAAUGCACAAAAUAUAGGUAUCUUCUUCUUUAAUAUAUAGAGACACAUCAUGAGAAAACAGAGUACUAAAUUAUACCUAGUGCAUAUUUUCCUGCCAACCAUAAAACUCUGAAAAAUAAGAACAUUUCACAGAAGUGGUAUCAGGCGAGAAAAAAAAUUCUCCCAUUGAUUUAAUACUUUUGUGCAAUGCCUACCUAGAUUUUUGAAUUAUAAAUCACUUUGACGUUAAAUAUUUCUUUUUCUACCUAAAAGAGUCAUAAUAUUAGGAAUGUUCCACUGCACAAUAUUUGCCAUUAAUAUUUUCUUAUCUACUCUGCUUCUAAUAGUUAUUUAACUUCUUGUACCCUGCAUAGAGAACUUUUAGGGCCAGGCUUUCAAAUCUGUCUAAACUGCACCAACAAAAUUUGCAAGCCUGUAACUGAUGGCACAGAACUGGAAAAGGCACAUAUAAGUUCUCAUUCAUGGACUUUUUAUCUUUGCAUUUGCUCACACGAGUUUUAUGGACAUACUUUAGGCACCCGAUUUGAAAAAUUAAUUCCUUUCAUUACAGAAAGUGAUUAGGCCUCUUUGUUUAAAUACUUAUCUUCUGCACACAAAACCUCAUUAUUUAAGCUGGUCUUUGGUGUUGUGUUAGUUUUUAUUAAACUAAUAAACAUAAGUCGUACCUCGUGUUUUUUAGCAAGGGGAUCUGAAAAAGAACACAGGAAAAAUAAAUAUUACUUUAAAAAAAAAUACUGCAUUGAUUUAAUCAUACCAAAAACUAUCAAAGUGAAAUAAUUCAGAUGAGGCUGAAAAAUCCAUUUUGGUUCUUCAGCAUUAACUCUCAUUCUUUUCCCAAAAUUACACUAAAGAAUUAAAGAGGACUGUCUACACCAGUGAUACUCAGACCUCAGUGGUUCAGAAGCCAAAUUAGCGAUAAAUAUUACUCAAAAGACCAACAGUAGUGUGAAUUCAUUGUUUCAUUUACUGUAGUACUAUAUUUUAUAUAUAUUAUUCUCACAGCAAAUAAGUUAAAUCAGUGCAAGUUGAUAACUUAGUUAAUAAAAGUAUCCUGAUUGGUUAAUAAUUACAUCACACAGUGUUUUUAAAAUCAUGUGCUGCAAAGAGUCGCAGGAGACACGCUAAAGAUCCACUUGCAGCUUGUGAGCCUCAGGGCUUCACUACCAGGGAGAUCAACGCUGCUGCAAUCAAUGCAGUGGAUGUCGAAUUAGCAACUUAAGUACUCCAGCUCUCCAAGAAGAGUAAGGUAAGUUGACUGGAGAGGGUCUCCCAUUGACACAGCGCAGCGAAGACACCAGGGGAAGUCGACCCCAGGGACGUGAAUAAUGUAGCUGGAGUCACGUAACUUAGGUCGACUUACGCCGGUAGUGAAGACAAGCCUCAGUCUGAGUAUCAUUAGUCUAGGUUGUAUUUUAAACCCCAUCCCUUAAAAUAAUGUAACAGAAAGCAGACCCUAAUCUGUUAAAUGCAGUGAGAAUUCAUAACUGGCAAGCAACAUUUUUGCAAUAAACAGACUGCAGACUGUAUUUAAUUCUAUUCUGGUUCUUAUAUUGCCCUUAUCACCUUAGAAUCUCAGUGCCUUCCAGUAGCAUAUUAGGGGACAAGACCAACAUCUAUAAUUUGUUCAGACUGUCAUCCUUUGCGGGUGUUUUACUGGGUUUUUUGUUUUUGUUUCUUGGUUUGUUUUUAAAAUCAACACACAUUUAAUAGAAUACUGGUAACUUAGAUAAGUGCUUAGAAUAUAUUUUUUUUAAAUAGACUUCUGAUUCAAUAGUCUUUUUUCUCCUUCCAGAUCCUACCAUUGUUUCCCUGCUAAAGGCAGGACCACUGCUCUGAAGACAACAGGAACAAACCAGCACCCAAAGAAUUUACAAAAAGAGUGUAAAAGGUGCUGUGAAAUUCAGGACUUAUCAGCACUUUCUCUCCUGGAACACUAUGUAGAUGACUGGAGAACUAGCAAGACAACACCACAAGCACCAAAGAAGGUAAACCUAACCAGCUGAGAAGGAAUUUUUAGUCAGCCUGUUCAAAACUGUUAUUAUCUAUUUAAGUCAAAUAACUGAAACAAUUGGGAGGAAAGACGUUAAAGAUUCAACAUGCCUACCACUUCAAUUCAGACCUAAAAAAGCUCCCCCUCCCCUUCAGUUCUAUGAUCCUCUAGGAAGACCUCUCCAGAUCCCCCACCAAGACCAAUAAAUAAAACAAAACACACCCACCCACCCCUACAUGGAACAAGGUUUAGCAGUCUUAUUUUUAAGGUGAAAACAAAUGUCUUUAUAUAUCAAAGAAGCAAAGAGGGUACAAAGUCAUUUUCCCCCUUGGCAGGUCAUCUUUAACAUUCUCAAACUAAUAUGGCUGUUUGUGGUUUCCCUCAGCUCUCUAAUGGUUCUCUCAAUUCUUAAUAAAUCUUUGGGUAUUAAAAACUAAAGAGUUAGCUUACAGAAAAUUUUGUGGAAACAAAAUUAGACUCCUUUCUCCAGAACUCAAUAAAGGUCAAAAGCUUGCACAAUUUUCAGAUCACGAUGAAGCCAGCAAAUACCUUUUUGUGCUCUUCAUAUUCCAGUUUGCUUAGCAGUAAUGCCUUUUCAAGAUCUGCUUCAAACAUUUCAGAUGUCAGCUGAAGAAAUAAGAUUAAGACAAAAACUCAUGACAGAUUUUUGUUUUUGUUUUUAUUAAUAAAAAGCAAAAAGGUGCGCAAUUGACAGCUGGUUAAAAGGUUAAAACUUAAUUUUAGCCUAUGGAAUGUUACAGCUACUGUCAACAUACUCUUGGUAAUAUGAUGAAAUGCACGAGUAAGAACAACUAAAUACGUUUGUACAACAGUUGGUAGAAUACCUUAUUGGUUGAAACACAUUUUGUUACAUAAAAGUCUGACUGAAACCAUGCACUACUAAGUCACUAUAGGGAAAGUGAAGUUCUUUUUUUUUUUAAAUUGCUUUUGUUCAAAAUGCUUGCCUGUAACUUAGAUCAUGAAGUUUUGCAUGCAGAAGCUUGUUGAUUUUAAAGCCUAAAAUAUCAACAAGUAGAACAGGGGAAAGAAGAGCCUCUCAAAAGCAUAGAAAAGACCAGGCCACCUCUGCUGCCAUUAACAAAAAGUAACUUCUGCUGAAUGGCAGGGAUGGCAAGAGACUCCAGGACAUCAUGUGUGAAAGAAACAAAAGUUUGUCUGGGAUGCCAUAGGAGGAGGAUGUGCAGUGCAAGAGUUGUUUCAGAGAAGUGUAAGGGAUCAAGAGCGGUCUUAGAUUAAGGAGAGAUGGAGGGAAGCUUUAGUCUUGAUGGAGUUUCUUGGGACGUGGGAUAAAAGGGGAAUUGAAAUUUUAUAUGUGGGGACUGAAAAGGAAAGAACUAAGUGUUGCUUAGAGGUAGAGGGGUAACAUCUGAUUUUAUAGUGUGGUGGUAUGGCAGAGGGGUAGCUGAGUUUUGUUUAGAGCACUAUAUUAAUCUCCAUGGGAAAAGGUAAGCCAAAAAAAAAAAAAAAAUACACCAAAGCCAAUACAAACUUACUGAAUGGGGGACACAGAUGGGCUGAAGGUAAGCAGAGGAAGGGAUUCACCUGGAUUCAGGGUAUUGCUGGAUCAGAAGGAAGUGGCUG